rnacentral:rRNA from 1 species
CGCUGAAGCCCGCAGCUUGCUGUGGGUGGAUGAGUGGCGAACGGGUGAGUAACACGUGAGUAACCUGCCCUUCACUCUGGGAUAAGCGCUGGAAACGGCGUCUAAUACCGGAUACGACCAGUCCUCGCAUGGGGUGCUGGUGGAAAGCUCCGGCGGUGAAGGAUGGACUCGCGGCCUAUCAGCUUGUUGGUGGGGUAAUGGCCUACCAAGGCGACGACGGGUAGCCGGCCUGAGAGGGCGACCGGCCACACUGGGACUGAGACACGGCCCAGACUCCUACGGGAGGCAGCAGUGGGGAAUAUUGCACAAUGGGCGCAAGCCUGAUGCAGCGACGCCGCGUGAGGGAUGACGGCCUUCGGGUUGUAAACCUCUUUCAGUUGGGACGAAGCCAGCUUGCUGGUGACGGUACCUUCAGAAGAAGCACCGGCUAACUACGUGCCAGCACGGCCGGUAAUAA